rnacentral:rRNA from 1 species
GAUGAACGCUGGCGGCGUGCCUAACACAUGCAAGUCGAGCGAUUCUCUUCGGAGAAGAGCGGCGGACGGGUGAGUAACGCGUGGGUAACCUGCCUCAUACACAUGGAUAACAUACCGAAAGGUAUGCUAAUACAGGAUAAUAUAAGAGAUUCGCAUGGAUUUCUUAUCAAAGCUCCGGCGGUAUGAGAUGGACCCGCGUCUGAUUAGCUAGUUGGUAAGGUAAUGGCUUACCAAGGCGACGAUCAGUAGCCGACCUGAGAGGGUGAUCGGCCACAUUGGAACUGAGACACGGUCCAAACUCCUACGGGAGGCAGCAGUGGGGAAUAUUGCACAAUGGGCGAAAGCCUGAUGCAGCAACGCCGCGUGAGUGAUGAAGGCCUUCGGGUCGUAAAACUCUGUCCUCAAGGAAGAUAAUGACGGUACUUGAGGAGGAAGCCCCGGCUAACUACGUGCCAGCCGCCGCAGUAAAC